GAUGAACGCUGGCGGCAUGCUUAACACAUGCCAGUCGGACGGGAAGUGGUGUUUCCAGUGGCGGCCGGGUGAGUAACGCGUAAGAACCUGCCCUUGGGAGGGGAACAACAACUGGAAACGGUUGCUAAUACCCCGUAGGCUGAGGAGCAAAAGGAGGAAUCCGCCCGAGGAGGGGCUUGCGUCUGAUUAGCUAGUUGGUGAGGUAAUAGCUUACCAAGGCGAUGAUCAGUAGCUGGUCCGAGAGGAUGAUCAGCCACACUGGGACGGAGACACGGCCCAGACUCCUACGGGAGGCAGCAGUGGGGAAUGUUCCGCAAUGGGCGAAAGCCUGACGGAGCAAUGCCGCGGGGAGGUAGAAGGCCCACGGGUCGUGAACUUCUUUUCUCGGAGAAGAAACAAUGACGGUAACUGAGGAAUAAGCAUCGGCUAACUCCGUG
rnacentral:rRNA from 1 species